CAGCAGCCGCGGUAAUACGAAGGGUGCAAGCGUUACUCGGAAUUACUGGGCGUAAAGCGUGCGUAGGUGGUGGUUUAAGUCCGUUGUGAAAGCCCUGGGCUCAACCUGGGAAUUGCAGUGGAUACUGGAUCACUAGAGUGUGGUAGAGGAUAGUGGAAUUUCCGGUGUAGCAGUGAAAUGCGUAGAUAUGCGGAGGAACACCGAUGGCGAAGGCAGCCCCCUGGGCCAAUACUGACGCUCAUGCACGAAAGCGUGGGGAGCAAACAGGAUUAGAUACCCCCGUAGUCCCUGUCUCUUAUAC
rnacentral:rRNA from 1 species